rnacentral:rRNA from 1 species
GUGGGGAAUAUUGCGCAAUGGGCGAAAGCCUGACGCAGCAACGCCGUGUGGGUGAUGACGGUCUUCGGAUUGUAAAGCCCUGUUGAGGGGGACGAGCAAGGACGGUACCCCUCGAGGAAGCACCGGCUAACUCCGUGCCAGCAGCCGCGGUAAUACGGAGGGUGCAAACGUUGUUCGGAAUCAUUGGGCGUAAAGCGCACGCAGGCGGUUUAUCAGGUAGGAGGUGAAAUGCCGGGGCUCAACCCCGGAGCUGCGUUCGAAACCGGUAAGCUGGAGUCACGGAGGGAGAAGGGGAAUUCCUGGUGUAGGGGUGAAAUCCGUAGAGAUCAGGAGGAACACCGGCGGCGAAAGCGCCUUCUUGGACGAUGACUGACGCUGAGGUGCGAAAGCGUGGGGAGCAAACAGGAUUAGAAACCCUGGUAGUCC